CACGUGGGGAACCUGCCCCAUAGUCUGGGAUACCACUUGGAAACAGGUGCUAAUACCGGAUAAGAAAGUAGAUCGCAUGAUCAGCUUUUAAAAGGCGGCGUAAGCUGUCGCUAUGGGAUGGCCCCGCGGUGCAUUAGCUAGUUGGUAAGGUAAAGGCUUACCAAGGCGAUGAUGCAUAGCCGAGUUGAGAGACUGAUCGGCCACAUUGGGACUGAGACACGGCCCAAACUCCUACGGGAGGCAGCAGUC
rnacentral:rRNA from 1 species